rnacentral:lncRNA from 1 species
GUUACGAGUUUGUAGGAUUUUUCAGAGCAUUGUUUGGACAUCAAAGCUAUUUUUAAUGAUUUUUAAAAGUUGGUAUUAUCUAAAAAUUUAAUUAAAAAUAGAAUAUUUGUUGGCAUGAUCUGGGUCGUCAGAUCUUUUUAACCGUCUAAUCUAGGCCGUUGGAUUGGAGUAUAUAUAAUUUGGAUUAGCUUGGAUUGCAUCAGAACACAGCCUAGACCCAUUUUGGUCUCGAGCUGCUCUGCAGCGACUGAGCUCGGAGGCGUCGUUCGUCAUCCGGCCAUCUCCCAGCGCAAGACCGGCGUUCACAGGUCCGUCUCGGCGUCCCCGACCUCCUUGUGAUUCCAGCUUGAAGAGUGGAGCUCCGGUGAGAGAGAAAAGGAGGAGAGAAGGCGAUUGUGUUUCCGAUCCCGACCACGACGGCGAGCGUGAAUGGUACUGGUAGUCUCAUCUCGUCCUCCCCAUCCUCCCUGUGAUCUUACUUUCAGCAAAGGAGCUCCGGUGAAGGAGAAUCGAAGGAGAGAAGCUUCUGAGUUUUCCGGCGAGGGUUCAGUGUUUUCCGGCGAAGUUGUGUUCGACUCAGGUAUCAAUCUUCAUCUACUCAUCGAGCUCUACCUCUUUGUAUAAUUGAAAUCGUGUUUGGUUGAGAGAUGAAGAAGUUGGGUUUAUGGCAGCGGGUGACCGCCGUGUGUACCAUUGUGCACGGCGGUGGUGGAGGCGUUUCUAUUGUUUUCUGGUUUUGAAUUUGUAUGCUAGAGUUGGAUUGAUGAUUAGUAUGUUGUCUGGAAUUAUUGAAAUUGUAGAAUUGGAGGUAGAGGGCGGAGUUGCAGGUUGUUCGGGUUUACUGCAAGUUUUGGUGAUUUUGGAGUUCAUACUUAUGAGCUGGUUCGAUAUAUGGUAUAAUGGAGUUGUGUUUUCAUCAUUGCCGAAGUAAUUGAGGGACUAGUGAUUGGAAUACAAUUUGGAGAUGAAUCAAGAGGUGGGAGAUUUGGACGACCUAUGUAUGUGUUGGUUAGUAAGAACAAGAAAGUCUUGCUACUACCGUGGAGUUGUGCGACAAUGCAGGAAAGUUACUAACUUUGGAAUUAUUGUUUAUUUGGCUACUGUAAAUGCAAGUUGAAUGAGCUCAGAGGUUAUAAACGUAUUAAAGGUAGGGAUUUAUACAAAGUGUGGGUGUCCAUAGCAAUUUGAAGGAUGGAAUGGAAGAAUUAAUUGGACACUUGUUUUUGGGUGUCCUUAGUAGAUUUCUGAAUUCGGUGUUUAAAAUGAUUCGUCGACAUUCUUGGAAUAAGAGUUCGAUACGAGGAUUUGAGGGCACUUUGCAGUUCUAGAAGCAGAAGGAUAAAGAUUUCAGAAUGCGUGUCGCAGAGAUACUAAUUUUAGUUAGCGUUGGAACUAGCGCUCGGAUUCCAGGUAAGGUUUUUCUCGGGGAACCUUCCUUAAAUUGAUAAUUAAUUUAUAAUUGAAAUGAGUCCAUUGAGUGAUUAACUCUUGGUUGUUAUUGUUUUCGAUAAAAGUAUAUGUAAUCGGUGAUUUAUAUAAUUAAUGUUAUUGCUUUCCAUAAAAACAUGUGUUGGAUGAUAUAUUAUGAAUAUUGAUAUUUGUUGCAUUCAUAAUGCAUUGUGAGGAAUUGUGAGAUUAGUGAGAUUAAUGAUAGUGGAGAAGAUGAGAAUGAGAUCGAGAAAAGAUACAUUUUGUGUAGUUGAGUUUCCUUAUGGGUUGUCCAUGAAUCCAUGUCAGCCCAUAAGUGUCACACCCUGAAUUUUGGAUGACUAAAAAAUCCAAAUUCAAGGCAUGAAAACUAAAAAGAAAAACAACUUUAUAAUAUUUUAGUUUUACAACUUGUGAAAGAAUAAAUUGGAUAAGGUAAAACCUCCCUCAAUACUCACAAAAUCUAGAAAGUAAACACAAGGAACAAAGCCUAACUGGCGCAGCCUCAACUCUGUUAAUCUUGACCUGCAAAAUCAACUUCUACCAAACUGUCACACCUCGAAUUUUGGAUGACUAAAAAAUCCGAAUUCAAGGCAUGAAAACUAAAAAGAAAAACAACUUUACAACAUUUUAGUUUUACAACUUGUGAAAGAAUAAAUUGGAUAAGGUAAAACCUCCCUCAAUACUCACAAAAUCUAGAAAAUAAACACAAGGAACAAAGCCUAACUAGCGCAGCCUCAACUCUGCUAAUCUUGACCUGCAAAAUCAACCUCUACACCAUGGAUUGGUGCACCGGGUUGUAAACAACAAACCCGGUAAGCUUUAAAAGCUCGUAUGAGUAAAUCUACAACAACAGACUCAACCCAUCAACACAUAAGAUAAAAUCAAGCGUUCAUGCAUUAAAAAAAUAAAUUCAGGAAAACACUUACAUGCAAGAGAAAAUCAAAGAAGAAAUUAAGAAAACACAACAAUUCACAAUCACUCAAAAUCAUAAAUAAAUCCUGUAAAAAGAGUAGUUCAGGAAGUACUUAAAAUAAGAAAAUUAAAUGACAUCAUAUAAAACAUCACCCAAUCAUUUCUCUACUCUUACUUAUGGGUUCGUCAACGCAUAGUCGUCCCCUAUAAGUAACGAGACAAACACGUACUCAUAGGUUCGUCAACACAAGUCAUCCCCUAUGAAGUACCGACAGACUGGAGCUCUAUACUGGCCGUAACCAAUCAUCCGGUCAAGACUUGGUUCCCGGUCCACUACGAAGGCUCCUAAUCUAAUGUACACCAUCACCAUUAAGGCACACAUUCACAACUAAUGCACAUAAUUACCACUAAGGCACCAUUCCGCAACGAAUGCACUCACUCACCACUAAGACACAUUCUAUUACUCUCACGUCAUAACACUUAUCAAAUCACAAAAUAAUAAUAUCAUCAUAACCGUAACCAAUCACCCGAUUAAAGGCUUGGAACCCGGUUUGACUAAUUAAAUAACAAUUCUACGUCACAUUAUCACAUUAUCAUAACAUGCCUUUCACACAUAAACACGUGGAUAUAAAUAUUUAAACAAGAAUAAUCUUCCGACUCUAAUUAUGACUCAUGAUCGAAAGUCCUUUUAAAAGAUUAUAUUAUUAACAGAAAACUUGUUUUCACUUACCAUAAGCCGUUUACAAUCAAACUUAUUUAUAUUUAAAAACAAAAUCAUUUUCUUUCAAGGACAACUUCACAAUCAUCAUCAAAAUCAUCAUCAUAAUCAUCGUCAUAAUCAUUAUCAUCAUAUCAUUAACAUUUCCAUCAACAUUAUCAUUAAUCUCAUCAUCAUCAUAAUCGUUAUCAUAACAAUUAUCAUCAUCAUCAUCAUCAUCAUAAUCAACAUCACAAUCAUCAUCAUAAUCGUUAUCAUAACAAUCAUCAUCAUCAUCAUCAUCAUCAUCAUCAUAAUCAACAUCACAAUCAUCAUCAUAAUCAUCAUCAUAAUCAUUAUCAAAAUCAACAUCACAAUCAUCAUCAAAAUCAUUAUCAUAAUCAAAAUAACUAGGUCACAAAGUGGACCUUAGUGAGAUUUUACUCACCUUAACUCCCGCUGCGUCUUCAUAAACACAAACGCAAGCGUCUAGCUCAAAAGCAAACUCCACAAGUUACCCUAUUUAACACAAACAUUAACCUUAGUAACCAAACGAACUAAGAGUAACAUUUGCCCUCUUAACCCAUAACUAAAAUCUGAAGGUUUGCCUAAAGGAGGGCAACUCUCCUUCAAGACCUCCCAAGGUCCUCGAUCACCCAAAACUAAACCUCCUACAAUUGCCAAAAACGGCUCCUACAUUUGAAAUCACAAAAUCAUCACACCUUAUCGAAAACAACUCUAACAUUAAGCAUUACAAGAUCUUAACCUAGUCUUAUAAUAUAUCAACGUGCUCACAACAACAAGAACUAGCUAACCCUUGCAACUAAACCUACACAUCCUGCCGAACGCGCCGCGAGUGGUCCCCACGCGCCACCCUACCAACCUCAAAAUCCCAACAAACUUCCAACAGCAAACUUGUAGAUUGAAGCAAGGGAAGCAUCCUUUAUACUUGGAGGUCCAACCAGUUCGGCCGGAAUCGGCCGGAAAACAACAAAAACUCGCCGGAAAGUUUGGAAUCCACCACCGCCACUCUCCGCCGUGAGUCGAGCUUGAAGGCCACUCGAUGUCAAACCAAGACACCAAGGAGCUCCUAUCCCGACCGGUUUCAAGCCCCGUCGCCGUCGUACACGGCUGGAAAAACUCUUGGGUUGAAGUCGGAUCCGCCAACCUCAUUGUGGCGUUCGAUUCUUGCAAUUCGACCCGAGUCGCUCUCACCCACCUACACAGGGAGGAUCACGCCGAGGAGAGGAAGAAAACUUGACCGGUGUCGUCGUCUCGGUCGGCCGGAAAAGUCAGGUCGGGUCGUCCGGGUCCGGGUCGGCUCAGUUGGGGGUUUUGCACUCUCUCGGGGUCGGGAAGAGAGAAGAGGAGGGGAAGAAAUGUGAUUAUGAAAAACUGAGGACCCAAAACGAAAUUUUUCCUAUUUAACCUAAAUAUUCCUGAAAAGCCACAACUUCCGCUGACCAUAACUUUCUCAUAUGAAGUCCGUUUUACACGUGCCACGUGUCUACGAACUCGUAUCGUCGUGCUCUACAACUUCCGUGAAGGAAGUUUCUCGAGAAACCCAACAUAUUAAAAAGUCAACUCUUGACCCUUCAAAACCAUAAAACCGUUUCGGGUAAAAUAAGCAUCUGAACGUUUCCGCUCUUCCUUCGAACCUCAAAACACACUAACUUCUAACUCAGAAAAUUCCCAAAUAAUAUUAGAAACUAAUAUUAAAUUUCCGGGGUAUUACAAUAAGUGCACGAACCGGGGAAUGCAGAACCCUUCGAUGGCGAACAUCGAUAAAGCGAUCUAAUCGGGUUUCGGGUUGGGAGACCAUGAGUAUAACAAGACGACUAACAAAAGAGGUACAAGUGGUGAGAUAUUACUGAUUUGUUAGGUCGUAUAUUGGAGACAUCUAUACGGUAUGGGACGUGUAGGCUCAUAUGUCUUUGAUGUAUGGACUAAUAAGCCAGUAAUCGAGUGUAGGAAGUUUAUUUGCAUAUAUGCAUUGAAUUGUUAUUAUUUAUAUUUAAAGUGUUGUUUGUUAUUUGAUUACUUGAUUUUACGACUUAGAUAAGAAUAACCUCAAGAGGUUUAGCCCUACUGAGCGUAAGCUCACCCCUAUAGAAUUUUGUUCAG